UCCCUGGUGGCUCAGAUGGUAAAGCAUCUGUCUGCCUGCAAUGCAGAAGACCCAGGUUCAAUCCCUGGGUGGGGAA